AUGGAGAAGAAAGGAGGAAGGCACAGCUGUGAGGAAGAAGAAGGUGCAGAGAGGCUGGGAGGGCUCACCUUGGCCUUGAUGAUCUGCUCCAUGUUGGAGGUGACAUCGUCCAGCUCCAGCUUAAACUCGCUCUUCUCCUUCUCCAGCUUCUGCUUCACCCGCUGCAGGUUGUCGAUCUGCUCGCUGAGCUCGGCCACGCUGUCCGCGUGCUUCUUGCGCAGCGCCGCCGCCGUGGCCUCGUGCUGCAGCGUGGCCUCCUCCAGGUCGCGCCUCAUCUUCUGGAACUCGGCCUCGCGUUUCUUGUUCAUCUCGAUCUGCACGGACGUGGCCCCGCCGGCCUCCUCGAGCCUCUCGCUGAUCUCCUCCAGCUCCCGGGACAGGUCCAUGAUGCUCUCCUGGGUCAGCUUCAGGUCACCCUCCAGCUUCCGCUUUGCCCGCUCCAGGUCCAUGCGCACCUUCUUCUCCUGCUCCAGGGAUCCCUCCAGCUGGUGGAGAGAAGGCCCAGCCAGGGCUGGUGAGGCAAGUGUCCUGAUGUGGUAACAUUGUGGCUUAGUUGGUCUGUGGAUGGGGAAUCCUAGGAUUCACUUGGGAAACCUUUCCCAGAAUGGGUCCAAUGUU
rnacentral:lncRNA from 1 species